UCUACGGGAGGCAGCAGUGGGGAAUUUUGGACAAUGGGCGCAAGCCUGAUCCAGCAAUGCCGCGUGCAGGAUGAAGGCCUUCGGGUUGUAAACUGCUUUUGUACGGAACGAAACGGCGAGCUCUAAUAAAGUUCGCUAAUGACGGUACCGUAAGAAUAAGCACCGGCUAACUACGUGCCAGCAGCCGCGGUAAUACGUAGGGUGCAAGCGUUAAUCGGAAUUACUGGGCGUAAAGCGUGCGCAGGCGGUGAUGUAAGACAGAUGUGAAAUCCCCGGGCUCAACCUGGGACCUGCAUUUGUGACUGCAUCGCUAGAGUACGGUAGAGGGGGAUGGAAUUCCGCGUGUAGCAGUGAAAUGCGUAGAUAUGCGGAGGAACACCGAUGGCGAAGGCAAUCCCCCGGACCUGUACUGACGCUCAUGCACGAAAGCGUGGGGAGCAAACAGGAUUAGAUACCCUGGUAGUCCACGCCCUAAACGAUGUCAACUGGUUGUUGGGUCUUCACUGACUCAGUAACGAAGCUAACGCGUGAAGUUGACCGCCUGGGGAGUACGGCCGCAAGGUUGAAACGUCAAAUGAAUUGACGG
rnacentral:rRNA from 1 species